rnacentral:lncRNA from 1 species
CAAUAAUAGAAACAGUAAUAAUAAUAAAAGUAAUAGUAAUAAUAAUAGUGAUAAUAAAAAUCAUGAUAAUAAUAAAUAUAAUAUUAAUUUGAAAAUAAAAUAGCAAAAUAAUGAAAAAGGACUAAAUUGAACUCAAAACAAAAGUUUGGGGCCAAUUCAAAAUAAAAGAAAGGGGAGGACCUAUUAGAACACGCGAAUGACAUGGAGGGACUAAAAUGGGAAAAUAAUCCCUUUCACCAAAACGCGCAGCUCUACGAGGACUGAAGUGAAACAACUAUAAAAUUAAAGCGGCAAAUUAAAGAAUACAAAAAAAACGAAUUUAGAAAUUAAAAAUACGGAAGGACUAAAAGGGUAAAUAACUCAUUUAAUAAAACACGCGGAUCCUCUCCGAGUCGGGUCAACAUGCGGGUAAAGGGAGGCUAAACGACAUCGUUUAGACGUAAAAAAUUUGGCCCCUAAACGGUGCCGUUUAAGGUUAUAUAAAAGCAGAAAAAUUUUUAAAAAAUUCAUUCCGCCGAAAACUUAGAAAAAAAACUCAAAAAGCUUCUUGUUUUCUCUGUUGGGGUUUAUGCUCCAGCCAUAGGGGACCACCGCCGUCCGUCGCCGGUGGCCACAGUGUACGGUGGCCGGGGGUACGAAACUGGCCUCUAUUCGACCCCUUUUACUCUUCUCACCUCAGAUCUGAGCCUCAAACACGCAAAAACUCUCUAGAAAAUCGAAAGGAGCCAAAGGAACCUUUCGGUUCUGACUUCUCCGACCCGAAUAAGGUACGAAAAUCGUAUUUCUCUUAAAUCUUGUAAAGGAGAAAAAAAACCGAACGAAAGACUACCUUUUCUUGAUCUUUUCAAUCUGUUUUUGUUCUUUUUUUAUUAAUAUCGAAUCCCCCCGAUACAAUCGAUUUUCGGUGGCUUUAUAGCCAAAAUACAUUGUUUUCCAUCACUGUUUGCUACUGUUCUCUGUUGUACGAUUUGUUUGCGUGUUGCGUUGCUUCUGUCUUUAUUUCUGCUUUGCUUUUGUUCUCUUUCGCAAGUUGCUAGGAGGUCAACAGGGUUGGUACAAGGCCGACCAGAGGUGGUCAGGCCGCGGGGCCAGGCGCGGGCAGUGCGUUCGAGGCACGUGGGGGCAAACGACGCCUAUUGUGCUGGUAUAAAACCCUAGGGUUUCCUGGUUUAGUCUUUUGGGCCUAUUGGGGCCAAUAGGAAUUGGGUCAGAUUUUUUGUAAAACGGGUUUGGGUUUAUUGGCCUUGGAUUUGUAAAAUGGACUGUUAACAGUUGUUUGGUUUGGAAAUGUUCAGCCCGGGCCAAAAUUGGGCUCUACACAUACAAUAGUGACCAAAUUGAAUAAAUUGUAAAAUCUACUGUAGAAAUGAGAAUUAUGAGGUUCCUA